GUUGGUGAGGUAAUGGCUCACCAAGGCUAUGACGGGUAGGGGGCGUGAGAGCGCGUUCCCCAACGAUGGGACUGAGACACGGCCCAUACUCCUACGGGAGGCCGCAGUCGAGAAUAUUCCACAAUGGGCGAAAGCCUGAUGGAGCGACGCCGCGUGCGGGAUGAAGGCCUUCGGGUCGUAAACCGCUUUUGCAGGGGAUGAAGUCCGCAAGGAUUGACAGUACCCUGCGAAUAAGGGGGGACAAACUCUGUGCCAGCAGUAGCGGUGAAACAGAGCCCCCGAGCGUUAUCCGGAUUUACUGGGCGUAAAGCGUCCGUAGCCGGUCUGGAAAGUCUCGGGUUAAAUACCAAGGACUCAAUCUUUGGGAUGCCCGAGAAACUGAUAGACUAGAGGGUGUUAGAGGCUGAUGGAACUCUUGGUGGAGGGGUGAAAUCCGUUGAUAUCAAGAGGAACACCAAAGGCGAAAGCAUUCAGCUAGAGCAACCCUGACGGUGAGGGACGAAAGCGUGGGUAGGGAAAAGGAUUAGAUACCCUUGUACUCCACGCCCUAAACGUUGGAUGCUAGCUAUGUGAAGUGUCGACCCUUCACGUGGCGUAGGUAACCCGUUAAGCAUCCCGCCUGGGAAGUACGGUCGCAAGACUAAAACUCAAAGGAAUAGGCGGGGACCCACACAAGCGGUGGAACAUGUGGCUCAAUUCGUCAACAACCGAGGAACCUUACCAGGGUUUGAAACUCAGUCGAAGAGCACCAGAAACGGUGCUCGUCUCACAAGGACGGCUGAGCAGGUGCUGCACGGCUGUCGUCAGCACGUACCUUGAGGCGUUCGCUUCAAUGCGGUAACGUGCGCAACCCCUAUCCUGUGUUUUAUUUGUCACAGGAAACUGCAAGCGACAAGCUUGAGGAAGGUGGGGAUGACGCCAAGUCAGCGUGGCCCUUUGAUAUCCUGGGCGGCACACGUGUUACAAUGGAAUGGACAGCGGGUUGCAAUUCCGUAAGGAGGAGCUAAUCCCUUAAACCAUUUCUCAGUUCGGAUUGAGGUCUGAAACUCGACCUCAUGAAGCCGGAAUCGCUAGUAAUCGCCAAUCAGCCAUGUGGCGAUGAAUAUGUUCCUGGGUCCUGCACUCACAAUAAAAGCGCUCGGCAGCUUAGUAUUCUAUGCGGUUUAAAUCCGCA
rnacentral:rRNA from 1 species